ACUCCUACGGGAGGCAGCAGUGGGGAAUAUUGGACAAUGGGCGAAAGCCUGAUCCAGCCAUGCCGCGUGUGUGAAGAAGGUCUUCGGAUUGUAAAGCACUUUAAGUUGGGAGGAAGGGCAGUAAAUUAAUACUUUGCUGUUUGACGUACCGACAGAAUAG
rnacentral:rRNA from 1 species